AAUUAGAAACACAGAACUUAUAUAAAGCUACAGAACAACCCAAAGUUUUAUAGAUAGCUCUCACAGUUUCUCAUUUUCUCUCUAGUAGCUCAAAUCUCUCUCACACAAAACUUAGAAAUUUCAAAGCCAAUUUCAUAGCUCUCAAUCAUGAAAAUUUCGAAGCUUUAGGUCAUGGCAAUUGCAUAACUAUUGGCCUUUCAACGCUAUGGCUCUGUCUCAUCGUCACUCAAAAAAUCGAAGUCGAAGUCUUCCAUCAACUCCUCUACUCUUUGCCUACCUCAUCUAAUCUCCCCCAAUUUUCUAGGGUUCCAAGCUCAAUCGCCACUACGACAGAAAGUUCAUUUUGCCUGAUUCGUCUCGAUUCUUCAACGGAGGCAAAUUCGGAGCGUUUUCAUGUUUUGUUUAUAAAUUGUAAUGUUUGGUUCCUGGGAAAAUUUUAGAGUGGAUAUUUAAAUUCUCCCUCACUUCCUCUCUCUCCCCAAACCACCAAGGUUCCCUCUCUCUCUCCCUCUUCCUGUGUAUAUGCCUAUAUAUAGGUUUUUGUAUCUUUCUUAGAUGGCUUUGUGUUUUGUUUCAAAGUCUACUCUGUCGUUGCGCUUCAUCCCGAUACCAUGGAAAAGCUCCAACUUUUCCAGGGAGACACGAUCUUGAUCAAGAUACUAUCUACAUUGCCCUGGCUGAUGACACUUGUGAUAAGCCAAAGAUAAGGAUGAACAAGGUUAUAAGAAGUAACCUCAGGGUGAGGCUUGGAGAUUUUGUUUCUGUGCACCAGUGUGCAGAUGUCAAAUACGGAAAGCGUGUCCACAUUCUUCCUGUGGAUGAUACUAUUGAAGGGGUCACUAGCAAUCUCUUUGAUGCAUACUUGAAACUUUGGUUGAUGGAUCAUUGGUUGCUAGUCAUUCCUCUGUAUCUGAAGACAUUAUCAUGGUUAAUAAUGGUUGCCUAUGCUGUACUGUGCGAGGAGAUCUUGUUAAAAUGCUUUUGAAGUUAGUUAAGGAAAAACAGGACAAAUUUGAUCAUAUUGUUAUAGAAAUAACAGAAAAUUUUGGCUCCAACAGAAGGGGGAAGGAGUGAUUUGAACUAGUGACUCCACUUAUGAGGCGUGGUCUCUAGCCGAUUAUGCUAUCCCUUGGGUUUGUCUUUUAUGGAUGUUAUUUUAGGGGAAAAAAAGAGAGGUGAAACCUGGGAGAUUACUAACUCCAUCAAAUGCAGGUAUUGAAAAGCUACUCUUUAAUUCCUGGAAUCUUUUUUGUAGGCCUUGCUAAGCCAGCUCCUGUUAUAGAAACAUUUUGUAGUGAUGAACUGGUUUCGCGUUAUUUGAAACUAGAUGGAGUUGUUACUUUGGUUGACUCGAAGCAUGCCUUGCAAAAUUUGAAUGGAGUCAAACCAAGAUUUGUGGUGAAUGAGGCGGUAGAACAAGUUGCCUAUGCCGACCGUAUUAUUUUCAACAAGAUAGAUUUAGUCGGUGAGGCUGAGUUGGAGGUACUGACUAAGAAAGUCAAGGUAAGUUUUUCCGUUGUACAUGAAUGCUCUGUUUAGUUUGUUAAGUAAACACUUUUUAAGUGUACUAUUCAAAACAGGUUUUGUGUAGCAAGUAGUGAUUCAUGUUUCAAAUUUAAAAAUGUAAAGGGCAAUAGACAGAGUAGUUGAGUUAUGUUGAUUUGUACAAUUUGUUUCA